UUCGCAAUGCCCGAAAGGGUGACGAAGCGACGCCGCGUGUGGGAAGAAGGCCUUCGGGUUGUAAACCACUGUCGGGAGUUAAGAAAUGUAAGGGUGUUAAUAGCGCCUUUGCUUGACUAAGGCUCCGGAGGAAGCCACGGCUAACUCUGUGCCAGCAGCCGCGGUAAUACAGGGGCGGCAAGCGUUGUUCGGAAUUAUUGGGCGUAAAGAGCACGUAGGCGGCUGUGUAAGUCGGUUGUGAAAGCCUUCUGCUUAACGGAAGAACAGCAUCCGAUACUGCAUAGCUCGAGUGCGGGAGGGGAGAGUGGAACUUCUGGUGGAGCGGUGAAAUGCGUAGAUAUCAGAAGGAACGCCGGCGGCGAAAGCGGCUCUCUGGCCCAUAACUGACGCUGAGUGUGCGAAAGCUAGGGGAGCAAACGGGAUUAGAUACCCCGGUAGUCCUAGCCGUAAACGAUGGGCACUAAGUAGAGGGGUUUU
rnacentral:rRNA from 1 species